UACGUAGGGCGCAAGCGUUGUCCGGAAUUAUUGGGCGUAAAGAGCUCGUAGGUGGUUCGUCGCGUCUGCUGUGAAAGUCCGAGGCUUAACCUCGGAUCUGCAGUGGGUACUGGCGAUCUAGAGUGCGGUAGAGGAGAUCGGAAUUCCUGGUGUAGCGGUGGAAUUCGUAGAUAUCAGGAGGAACACCGGUGGCGAAGGCGGAUCUCUGGGCCGUAACUGACGCUGAGGAGCGAAAGCAUGGGGAGCGAACAGG
rnacentral:rRNA from 1 species